ensembl:lncRNA
CCGCAAUAGGAGCCUGUUGUGCCGUGCCGUGCCGUUGGGGCUCUUCCCGUCGGAACUUUGUGCGCUCGGUGAUGCCCGGCGCGGCGCUGAGCGCGGUGCGUUCGGGUCGGGAGUCGCCGUUUGAACGGAGUGCUUUGUGUAUGAAAUACAGGAAUCGGCGAGCGCUGCGUUAAUGGUGUCCCUGCGUGUGUGUGAGGUCGGCAGCCGAGCUGGGGCUGGAGGUGUUGCUGUGGGUCAGAAGGUUGGAGCGCUGCCCCGCGCUCUGCGAGGAAUGGGGCUGCUCGUUGCAAACAGCGCGGAGUCGUGCAAGUGGUAAUGGGGCGUUUUGGAGGCCGGCGUGUGUGGCAGCGCUGCGAUCCGCAGGGCAGGGGCUGGGCUUGGGCUGCGGUCGGGCCAGAGAGCUCCCAGAUCGCAGGGCCACCUAUGGAAUUUUCUCUUGAAAUGUCUUCCAACAUGUGAAAAGAGUUAGAAUUACUGAAUAGAUUCAUCUUUUGCUGCUCGUCGGAGCCACAGGGGAGCUGCUUCUGCCUUGGUGGGAGCGUGCCAGCUGGCUCUCGUUGUGCAGAGCCAACCACUGCAGUGCACCCACAGCAUCCUACAGCAUGGACCACCUAUAGCCACAGCUCUCGCAGUGGAUUAAUGAAUGCCAAACUCAUUAGCUACAGACAAAUAACAUCUAAAUAG